UGGGGCCCGAACGCGGCAGUUUUCUUAGGAAAGGGUGUUCUCUGACAUUUGGUCUUUGUAUCCUCUCAAGGCUAAUCAACAGGAGGGGAGGUUUAAUCCGUGAAACAGACAACAAACAGGCAAGCGAGAUCUAAGCGAUGUCCAGGUGUCAGACAAAUUACUUGUGGGCAGAAUUGCCUCGUUAAGGUUCAGGGGCUCCACAUGUUCCAGUGAUCUCGGACCUAGGGGGGAGGUUAACAAAGCUUGGGAAGGAGGAUGCCCACUGAUAGCAGACACAAAGAACGCAGAAUUCACAGGCCACCGGGACAUUUGGCAGAACUGCCAAGAUAGGGAAGAAACUGAUAAAGCCAGCUCAGCAACUGUGCUGAGUCAGAUCCAGCUGGGUAACAGGUAAUUCUGGCAGGGGAGAUGGUGACCACCAACUCACAGACCACUGACCCAAGAAAGCACCAACCCAAAAGAAAAGAAAGACCAAGCAUGAGGAUUAAUUAGCACAAGAAGAGAAAGGAUCAUUAACCAAUGGAAAAUAGAAUACUAAUUAAUAAGAGAACCAGGUAACUUGUAGCCAAUGAACACUGAUGCUUUUGCUUGCUAAAAUGUAUAAACAGGGAAAAGUUUUGGUAGUCAUCAUACUGGCUUUGUGGAUUUACCAUCCAGCACCCCUUUCUGCCCAGAACUGUAAAUAAAUCAAAUACCUCCACUCUGUGUGCAGAUUGGCCUCUUGCACACUGGGUGAAAGAACUUAUUUGGGACAAUACCUCCACACCACCAGGCUGCUUGCUCCCAUUGCCAAAGCUCUCUCUAACAACAGCUGCCCUGCAGGCUGGUGUGACCCCAAAGAAGGGCCAGGGUGGAUCACCUGGCUGCCUCCUGCUCCAGAUCUCUUCCUCAGCCCUCCCUGUCUUGCUCAGGCUGCAGGCUGGCAGGGCAGAAGCCCACCUUACCAUGGUGGGGACUAAAAGGGCUAAACCCACACAAAAAGUCUAAGAACAACUCUCCAGCGUCUGUCCAUCCACAUUCCCCUCAUUAAACCUCCUGUCAAUACAGCCCUGCUGAGACAGCAGCUUUCAGAGCUGGUGCAUUUUCUGGCUGUGCUUCAAAUCCUGGUUGAAAGCAAUUAAAGCUGCUGGUGUGGCUCUGAGCUCCCAAGGUCCAGCCCUUGUUUAGUAGGUCAAGGCUGGCAGGACAACGCCAAGAGCAUGUCCAGGCAGCACGUCCGUGCCUAGGAGUUGUGUACAGACAGCCUAGUCAGGAUGCAGUACAGGAUUACACCUAAGGAACCAAGAGAAAUAGUCUCACCUAUGCACUGGCGAAGAUGAGCAUGUAUUCUUCUGUCUAAGCUUAGGUUGUUCAAAUCCCGUAGAACUCCGAGGAAAAUAAAUGUGGAAAGAAAAAUCCCUUGUGCCUGUUUCUUCCACCUUGUUCUAUCCAUCAAGUUUGUCCCUGGUUUAAUGGUAUCAGAUGGUAGGACUGGACAAAACUUGCGUGAGGAUCCAUGAUCAUUUCAUGCUUCCCUUCUUUUUAAAAAAGGAGCAAUGAUAUAUAUUUUGCCUUCAGCAAGGCUUUCUUUGCAGAUAUAAUCAUUAAAAAAAGAAGGAUACGUGACCUACAGUGCAGAAGAAACUUUGUCCUCAGAGAGCAGUAUCAGUGGUUCACUGUCAAAUUGAAAAGAUAUUUUCCAUGAUGAUCUGUCUUGGGUGACUUGAACACUUUCAUAAAUAAUCUGGAUGAUGGAAAAGAACAUGCUUACUAAUUCUUCAGAUGACAAAAGCUUUAAGGAAGUUUGAAGACAGAGAUAGAACAAACAUGAUUUUGACAAAGCAGAAGAGCAAACAGUUUUAAAAACAUAACCCAGUUUGUCAUCUAGUGAAGAAAAACGCAGUGGCCUACACCUAGUAAAGGUAAGCAUGUGCAUGAAACAGGGAAGGGCAAGGCAGUGGCUCACCAAAGCUUCUGGAAUGCUUGUAAGGAAUCAUGAAAUUAAUGUGUCAAAGUUAUCAUACUACAAAAAGACUUAAAAUGCAGUAUCUGUAAGAAAUCCCUAUGGAGUAACAAUAACAGCAAACGCAGCAGUCCUUAGACCUUGGCUGAAAUACUACAUUUACAAAGCUACAGGCCAACUGGAGAGAGACAAGAGUGUCAAAAGAAUAGAAAACAUGACAUGAUGUAUUUGUCAUAAUUCUUUCAACCACCCUGCACACAGAGGAGAAGAUUGAAUGAAAACAUAACUUGCUGUCACAUACACGGAGGACUUUCCAAAACUAGGAAGGAAUCAUCUAAGUAUUAUAUCCCUAAAGGAAGGGGGGAAAAUAAUGACUUAAGAUGUCAGUAACAAGAGUUAGAGUGAACAUCAGAAGGGGUGGAUGCUCUUUAACAGAAGCCACCACAAAGCACUAGUGAGAUUGCCUGGGGAAGCUGAGGAGUCACCAUUAUCUGGUAAGAUGCUGGUAAGAACAAGUUGGGCAAAUUCCUACCAGGAAUGACAUACCUGUAGCUGGACGAGGUGGUGGGACUAGACCCACUGAGCCUCCUGUUCCCUGGCAAGGGUGAGAGUGAGGAUGUUGCUGAGUCAGCCCUCCCCAAGUCACAUCAAGCAUCCACUCAGUGUUUUGCUCCCCUCUGCUUGCAGGAACAGAAACACCCAGUCAGUUUUAUGAGGUUGACCAGUCCUCCGAACAGCACUGCUUAAAAUAUCUCCCUCCCUCCCAAGGCUAUAAACAAUCUCAGCAUAGGAAAUGCAGAACUGGAGUUAAGUCUCUGACUGGCCCCAGGAAAUACAAAAUUAUAUACUCUGACUUGAGGAAUUUGUGUGAAUCCAGUCAAAACUUUCUGAAGUGGAUGCCUCAGAUCAGGCCAUUAAGUCCCUACACAGAAGCCUAAAUCAGUGGCCUCAUUUUCAAACACACACUUAGCACUCAGCAGCUCCUGUAGCAUCUAAGAGAAGACGGUGAUUGCUUGUCACAUCUGAGAACUUGUGCCACUUUGGCUCUAAAGUGUGGACCUGAAAGCACUUUUCUAUGCAAUUUUUCACAGUCCUAAUCCUGGUGUUUUGUGAACACUUUCCCUAGAUUUUUUUUUUCCUAGGCCAUUAUUUUCUUUGUAAUGCAAAAAUAAAUAUUUCACAUUAAAGCAACUCCAAAGCUCUAACUUCGGAAAUCUUCAAUGGGUGCAGAACUUCAGGCUGAGAACUACAGCACACCGAAGAUUUUACCAUAUCAAACACAGUUUGCACUCCCACAUCCCCUCCUGCAUUCAUAAUUACAUUCUGACUCACAUCGUAAUCACACUCGGAUCCCAGUCCUGCUUUGGAAAUUUCAUGGCUGCAAUGCACAGCACCCAUCUUCAGUUAAGCUAUGUGGAAUCAUUAUUGCCACAGCCAAGGAACCGUUUUUUCACCAUUUGAAUGCACCUGUUACUGCACCUGGACUCUUGGUUGCAAAAGUCUGGUGUAGAAUCCUCAACACCCUCUUUAAUAAACAGAGGUGCAAAAAAGGAACAUAGUUCUAGCAUCAAAUAGAUGUUGCCACUGUUCACUCUGAAAGAAAUAAUUGUGGGGUUUUUGGAGCUUAGCAAUAGAACACGUAUGCUGUAUCUGUAAGAGGGACAAGAUUACCUACACUUAUAAUAGAACAAGAAAAAUCAAUUUUACUCCCAAACUCUGUGUAUUUUAUGCGAAGUGCAUCAAACACAUGAUUUGGGGUAUGCUUCAAACAGAAAUUCCCAGCUUUUUACAGAAUUCAUCCUCAACAAACUGUGAGAAUAUAUCUCAGGAAUUUAGAGGAGGAUGCACGGCCAAUAGCAUAUGCUUGGAACAUUAAUUAAAGUUAGAAAUAAGGGAAAAGGACCCACUAAAAAUCUUAAUCUGUUACACUAUGGAGUAUAUGUGUUGGGAUCAUUGUCCCCUAACUUCAGGUAUCUCCACAAGGCAGGUUUCUGCAUGGGACAGUCACCCUUGGCUGGCACCAUAGGCAGAGGAACAAGCACAUGGUAUCAAACAAAGUCUACCCAGGGUAGCAGUGUUCCCACAGCAGAGAAAGAAGAGCUCCUAUUUGUUUUAAUGACUGGUUUACCUUGGAUUAUCAGUUGGCUUUCUUUAGUCUAUUGCAUUUAUCUCAAGUGAUUUAUUUUAGAGGGCUGCAAUUCAUACAGUACCAAGUUUGCUCUCCUUUACCUUCCCUCUUUCCUCUUCAUAAACCUUGCAAACAGUUAAGAGAUUUAUAGGGAACUACACCCAUGCCAGAGAAAAAGAACCCUUACCUGACAUAAGCUCCAUAGAUUUCAGCUAUUUUAAAUGAAAUACAAGUUAAUUACUAGUCCAUAUAUAAUAUCUUAAAGACACAUUUCUCUAAGAAAGCUUUAACUUGUGUGUGUUUAUGCUGUCCUCUCCUUUUCCCACCUAGAAAUCCAAAUGUCCUUGAACCAUGCUGAAACUGGAAACAUAGCCAAGCAGCACCUGCUGAGCCCUCUUGGGUCAAGUGCAAACCAUCAACAGUAUCCCUCAUUUCAGUAAUUGCCCCCUCAUCACUAUUAAAGCAUGAGAUUUUUCUUAUCUUCACAUUAAAAAUCCCAAAAUGAAAAAAAAUUCCCUUCCAGUGAGUAAGUCACCCCGACGUGCAGCAGCUACAAAUUUGGAAGCUGUUUCCCACUCUCACAUGCAACACCUCCAGCUUCUCAGCAUAAAGUCAAACAUCACCCUGCAGUCCCAGCUGCUUAAUCAGAGUGACUAGGAGAUGGUGUCCCCAUGCCUUGGUGGGACAGAUGGAGAAAGCCACGUGCCACCAGUGCGGGAGCCAUGCAAGGUGGUGCAUUUCCAUGCAUCUGCUGGAGCCAUCCUGCACACUGCUGACACAGCUCACCCCUGCGGCAUCUGAGAAGGCAACAACGCAGAGACAGUAAAAAACAACCCACUCUUAUUGCCUUCUGAAAACAAAUCAGCAGCUGAAAACAAACCAACAAUGGAAUCAACAUCAACAGGUGUCUGAAGAGCUGAAGAUGCAACACUUUGGCAGGAGACUAACAACAUUAACCUUAAUUUGGGGUAGAAUUAUACAUGUUUUGAGAAGUGGCUUUGAAUGCUUCAUUUCUUACCAAGGAAGCUUUUGCUACUGUGAAUUCUCUUGUCUGAGGUUAUAAUUAUUUGGGUUCAGAAAACGUGGGCUUCUUUCGUGAAAACUUGGUUGUAUUUCAAGGUGAAUAAAUAAAUCCUAAACCAAUUAUAUCUAUUAGCUACUCCAGUCAGAGAUGUUCAGAACAAUAUAAGCAAAGCUAAUAUAGGUAGUGGUAGGACAAGAUGUUUGUGUUUACCCUUAAAAGCAAGUUCUACAUACUGAGCACCAUCACCAAGGAGUUGCUUCGGGCAGAAGGAACGGGCUCAUGGGCAACUCCAGCCUGAUGUCAGGGAUCAGUCCAUGCAGAGCAGCCACCACACAGACCUCUUGAAUAUCUGCUGUCAGCCACAGGAGGGCAAAGCGAGCCCAACCAAACUAAAGAAACCACAGUAAAGCAGCCAAACCAAGGCAGGAUCACACCAAAGCAGUCAAACCAAGGCAGUGCUAAAGGGGAGAAGGUGUCAGGACCAACUAAAGGAAAUACAGACUAUUUCCAGACAUCCUCCAGACAAAAGGGUUUUUUCCACUUCUCAUUAGCAGCAGGAGCCAGCUCAGGAGAGGCCGUCAGGCAGCACAGAGAGGAGCAGCCUGGCAGGGCUGCUACUCACCAGCAAAGGGUCUUGGGGACCUGACUCCCCUUGUGCAAGCCAAGUCCCAACUGGCAGCUCUCUGCACACCAGAAAAUUAGGCCCAAAAACCUCAAUAGCUGUCAAUUGUUUGCCAAUCAGAGCACUGAGCACUGAUUUCAGAGUAAACUUAUUUGGCCAUCGCAGACACAGCGGCUAUUCAUAAUUCACCCUCAAUCAAAAACAAUUUUGUGAUUUGAAAGAGUACUCGUUUUUCAUAAAUGCUGGCAUCUCCCCAGCAAUCAGUGAACUCCCUGGCAGCCAGCCAGGCACAUCCACUGGUGGCAGCAGUAAUUCCUUCUCAUCAUAAUGUUUAUAUGUGCAUAGAUCUGAGCCAGGUGAAUUCACAAUAUGCAGUAGAAUGACAAAUGUAUCACAUACAACAAAGGGUUGAGAAGGUGACUUGGAAUAAUUUUUUGUCACUGGAUGAAACCAUGAUCCAAAUACACAGUUCUCAAGGUUUUUGAGCUCUCGAAUUUAUUGCUAGAUUUCUGCUAGACCUCAGCCUUUUUCUUUGUCCACAGAUUUGCUUCAGUUUUCAUUAAAUAGAUGAUAAAGGUAACUAGUGUAUGAUUUGUUUUGUAACUCAGUUGAAAACUUUUUAAACACUCUAGAAUUUUUUUAAAAAGUAAAUCUUGGGGUUUUUUCCUUAGAAAGAUAAGGCAGAUCAUUCCCAGCUUUGCUGCAGACCCUGUGGGAAAUAAAAGGUGCUUAUUCUAUGCACUUUUCAUCCUAGCUUAGAGCUGUUUUAUAUAGGUUUAUUUUUUUGGACACAUUCUCUUUUCUCACUAUCAAAAAAUCAGGUCUUGAAGGGAGAGGACCCAACAGAGCACAAAGGAUGCUCGGUGUUUUAAUUUAUUCCCUUGUGUGCUCACAUCAUGCAAAGGAAAAAGUACUUCAACACACAGGUGACCGUGACCAGAAAGACGUGAGGCUGCUUCCACCUUCACAGGUAGUGCACUUUAACUGAGGUGCACUCUUUUAAAUGUGCAUAUGUCAAACAACCAUGUCCAAAACAGCUUGGCUAAAAAUCCAUGGCUUUCAGUCUAAGAAAAACCAAUGUUUCAAAUGUAAAAGUCGUACAAAACAAAAAGACUUUUCAAAAUGAUCCUUUCACCCUGAGAUAUAUCCCAAAGAAGCAAAUUCAGGGGAAAACAUUCUUUCACGUCACUUUAAACAUGGGGCCAGCUGAGAACAGUUGCCAAUAGCACACCAAUAUCAUCAUCCUGUUUUCUUCCAAAGAAGUCAUGACCUCUAAAGCCAAAGAGCUUUAAAAAGGAGGGGUUAUAUAUCUUUUUUUUUUUUUUUUAGGCCAGUUGCACCACCCUGAUGAACACUCUCGUGCUUUCAGGCAAAUUUUAUUUAAUGAAAACAGUCUGAUUGCAAGACUGGAAGGUUGAGCACUAAGGAAAAUACUGCUCAUCAUAAGACUCCUUUGCAAGAGAACAGGAGUGAUAUUUUGAAGUGCAGAAGUCCUUAAACAUAGAGGCUGUGUUUCCUAUCUGUGCCAUUUGCCUGUUUGUGCAGGAAGCAUGUGCCUGGUUUCUCCCCUUGGGUGGCAGGCACUUGAGCUUUGCAUCUGAGAGCAGAAUUUGCAAUUUCCAGGUGUAUUUCAAAAGGAAUUUGAAAGAUUCUCUGCUUGUCUGAAGGUAUUUCAACCCCAUCUCUCAGGCAGGAACGGAACAGCUGCUACAUUAAAGGGAAAACCCACGCGUCAGAAGCAGAAAAGAGGAAGAUGUUAUAAGCAGACCUGAGCAAAAGGCAGCUUAUGAUUUAGUCAUGAGAAUGUAAUUAGGGGUGUAAGAGCACUGGAAUAUCCUAGAAGAUACUUUUCUUUGAGGCCUCCACCUUGGGAAGGCAAGAGGCUCUGCUGUAAAUAUGCACAGGAUCUAUGUCACCUCUUCUUUGUCACAGAUCCCUGCUAACUUCCAGGGCUCCUGCAAGGAGAUGGGCUGAAGCAGGACCUCAUGAAGGAAAGUGGUGCCACCAUGCUAGUGUCAAAUUAAAUCUGGAGAACAGUUCAAGUCGUAGGGAAGACUGACUUUUACAACACUUGGGAAAAGGUAUUGAGCCUGCGGUAGCCUGUCCUGAUACAUUCAGGUCUGCUGUUAAUUUGCCCCAGUUACAUCUUCCCAGGUGAGGAUUUUUAGCUCACAGUUCGGUGGGGCUGCAGGUAGACAGGAGAAAUGCCUAAGGCAAGAAUGGAAAGAAGGGAUGAGGCAGCAGCUGAAGAACAAGGGAAGUGCUAUUGGACUGUGGGGUGCAAGAAUGUGCAGGAAGGCAGAACAAAAGAGCAUUAUUUCAAAAUGAUGGGAGGGCCAGGAACGGCAGUCAGAGAUAACAGGAGUCAGCAGGGGAAGGAACUUGGGUCAGACAGAAGCAGGGGGACUUUGGCAUUGGAAAGUUUAAGUGACAAAGAGAGGUAGUGGGGGUUAGCAAAUAGAGGAAAAGAAGGGGAAGUCAGAGUCUCUUUAUAAAAAGGCUGUUUUGAGGAAGGUCAAGUUCUUUGCAUUUGGUGGGCGGAGGGGGGUGGAUAAGACAUAUAUUUUAAAAUCCUUGAACUGCUUUUCAGUCUUUUGUGUCAACUUAGGUUGAGUUAAUUCACUAUUUGCAUAUAACCAGCUUUUGCUGCUAGGUGGUCAUAUUUGCCAUUUUGAGUCUAAUUAAUCAUUAAGGAACCUAGAGCCUGUGUACCGACAUUUGAGAAAUUCAAUAUAUAAAGGCAGAUGUGCUUUGGUUUGUGUCUUGGUUGAAAACAGGCUUGCUAGGCAGGGACAGAUCUGACACCACCCUAAUGUUGCAUACUUAUAACCUUCAAACCUUGACAAUCUGGUUUCUUUAUAAGCAUUUCAUGUGUGCACUUCUAAGUCAAACUGUGUACUCAAAAUAUCUUCACUGAAACAUCUCAUCUAUUUGGUGGAGAAAUAGGUUUUAAAAAGCUAAAUACACUACAAAGGGUGUGAGGCAGUAAAAAUACUUCUCUAUCUGUACAUGCUUAACCAAGGAGCCUACGAUAGGUGCCUUCUCAGCCAGUCAUAGCCUGUGAGAUCGGCCUCUCCAGGGAAGGAUUCAGCAUCAGGGUCAGUUUUCUGAAUAUUUAGAACAGCAAACAGACUCUGGGGAAUGGUACAACUCAGGGACUGACAUCAGGGUAGAAAGCCUGCAGGUAUGGGUUCAGUCUGCCCAUUUUUACAUGGAGCAAAAUGUAGUGUCUGCUAAAGCAAGGUGUUCCCAAGGGGAUAGGAUGCAGUCGGUACAAGGUGGAGGAGGAGGAGGAGGAGGAGGUGCCUCAAACACAGCUGGACUCAGCCCAGCAGAAACCUCGAGGCAAUACCUCACAAUACCUUUCCCAAACUUUGGGCAAGUCAUAAAGUGUUUUGAAUAAACACUCAUUGGUCAUCUAAGCAGACAACAGGAAUUAAAAGGGUAAAAUUUGUAACAGAAAGGUCUGUGAAUUUCAAAACUCACAAUAAAAAAACUCAGUUCUUCCUGAGUGAAUCAGACAGAGGAAAUGAGGCACAUUUCUGUUUAACUCUGAUUUACUAGAGCUGCACUUUGCAUUUUUGCCAUUACUAUUAAAGUAAUAGUUUUGAUUGACAGGAUCUCAUUUUUAAUUAGCCAGAUCAACCAAGGCACAACAUCAGCAUUUCUGAAAGCAUCUGAAAAAGCAGCCUACUUCUGCAAGGAAAUCUUAUUUCCAUUUGAAGAUUAAAGGUUCUAGACAGCAGCAAUAUGUUUCUAUCUGCCAUUUCAAAAGGAAGACUUGAAAACAUCACGCUGUAGCACAUGAGAGAUUAAAAGAUACAGGGAGAUAUCUCACAACCAAUCCUGCUUCUCAUAGGUCUUUAUUCCUUAAUCCUGUCCAGCAACAGCCUUUAACAAGAACAGUAUAACUGCAUUAAUCAAGGAUUAUUAGCAAGAGAUCUUAAUGCAGCGUUUUUGCCCACCCAUCUCAGAUGCACUCCGUGUUUCACUGGAGAAUGCCAUCAUACCUGGAUUCAGCAACCAGAGAAUCACACACUAUUAAUUGAAGUGACCCAUCCUGCUUGGUGAGGCAGGUCAUGUGGUGGGCCAGAGCAGGACCUGCCCAGCCAGCAGAGGAGCUGGGGACAACAGCAAGGUCUCCUCCUGGCCUACAGCGACUGGAGAUCACCACCACUUUUUCCUGCAGCUUGACUUCAAUAGCAGCAGGAGAAAGCUGUCAUACCAUUCAAAACUGCUGUGCAGGGAAGGGCAGCUGGGAAGAGGAGGGAGAGCAUGAAUGACAGAGAUACCAGAGCAUGGUCUGCCUUAACUUUGCUCUUCCAUCCUAUCUGGGAAAGGCCUUGAUUAAUUCACAAACAUAGCAAAGCAACAACGUAGUAGAAAGGCUCUCUAAACCCCGUUAUCUCCACUGCUUCUAUCACCAGGAGUGUUCUUGCUGUUGGAGACAUUUUUAACCAAACAACAUUUUCCUGAAGCAUACUGCUCUUCCAGAAAACCUUUCUGCUAGCAGAUAUACUGCUUUCAAUUUAAACUACUUGGGAAAGCAGGUAGGGAGGCACACACACGUCCCAUGAGUUUUGCAGAUCAGCGCCACAGUGACUGAAGAGUACCUGAGUCUCCUAGUAGUUGCACCUACUGCUCUUGCACAUCAGGAGAAGCAGAAGCAAAAUGUGCAGUGUGCUGAGAACACGCCUAGCUAUUUUUACACCCAAGCCAGAUGUUUCCAUUUUUGAUGAAAACAGUCCAAAAGAAUUUUUUUUUUGUUUCAAUGUGAAACAGACACAGUCAAAAACCUAGAAACCCACAGCAAAGAGAAAUCAUCAUUCCCUGGACAGCUGUGACAGGGUGACUGCCAGCUACAGGACAUGGAAACAAACCCUUUUGGAAAAUAUUCCUGCAGCUAGACUGCACCACUUACAUUUCUCUCUCCUCAACUUCAUAGUCUCCUUACAUUAAGCACUGAGGGGCCUGAGCAUUAUUUUUUCCUACUGUUGGGUGGACCUGUGAACAGCUAUCCAUAGGGAUCCUUUUGGAACAAUAAGCUGAGCCAAAUAUUUCCAUGUAAUAAAUUUCGACUCCACAACCCCAAAGUUAAACACUGGAAACACUAGGACAGAUUUCCUCUGGCAGUGGAAGUCUUGAUGGCUUCAUGCUCCUGCACACCACUAACUCUGCCUCUCUGAUUUAUACCAGAUUUCCUAGACCUGCAACACAACCAUUUGCAAACCUUACAGGACAUGUUUACCCUCUGAUUGGCAAAGUAUGCAAUUGCACAUUCAGCGUGCAAGGACUUGUUAGACACCCAGCUUUGGUUUAAAUCCUCUUUUUCCUUUAUUUUUAGCAGCCAUAGCUGCUUUAGCUGACACCAGGGGCUUUGUCACUUCUGCUCAGCAUCAGCAAGGUUUUCACUUUCCAUCAUAACCACUUAAUGGCAUGCAGAAUAUAAAGACUAACAGUCUAAUUGCUUUGCUGUCCUCCCCGUGCAGCCUUUGUUCUCCAGGAGCUCCUUUUGAGCGAGCAGGCUCUCCCCUCCAGCUGCAGUAGCUGGGCUUGAGCGAGGCUGGGGAGCCACUGGCAGCAAACCCGGGGCUCUCACUGACAUGGUCAUUACCCUUGGGGGUUCACAGGCAAGGCCUGUCUAAAUGUCACCUCCCAGGCACAGCCCUGAGUGCCUCUGGAAGUGAUGAACACACUGUUUUAGUACUGGCCAGGCUACUUAGAGGGGUUAUAUUUAAGGUUCAGCCUUUCCUUACAGCUGGCAGUGUUCUGCUUUCCCUUCUCCGAUCCCACUAGACUAACAGGCAUGCUGCAAUCCUGGAAAAACUGCUCCAGAUUUCCAGAAACCGUAGCAAACUUGCACCACCUAUCGACACGACAGAGCCAUUGGUUUGGGGCCAGAAACCCGGCACAGCAAUCCAGCAGUGCUUCAUGAUACUGAUCAUUGUGCUCCCAGCAUCCUACAUUAUAAUGGGCCUCAAAAAAGCAGCACUGUUUGGCACAUGCCAGGGUGCACCUGACCCGACUGUAUCUUCUGCCCUCCCACACAUGCACCCAUCCCAGUACAGUGGGUAAGCCUGGAGGCCCCCGGGCUGCCCGAGGUGUGCUGUUGCUGCUUUGUGAACAACUGUGCUUUGCAGAGGAGGUCCUGUGCCUCCUCACCUCUGGCUCAGGCAUUACUGGAUUCCUUGUCACAAAGAGCCCUGGCCACAGAGAACUUCCUCUACUUGAAAUUAACUUUCUCCCUCCUUUCCAUUUAUUUCAAGAACUCAAAGACAACACCUUAUCCAAUUUAAUUUAUUCUUACUGCACAGGAAACUCUCAGCUUACCCCCUACCCUACUGACCCUGCAGGGAAGGGAUACCCAUCCCUUGUUACAGACACCCCUAGCACCACCACACCACUGAGCCUUUCCUGCACACCUCAUAGCAGGCACCGAGACAUUGCUAUCAUCAGAAAUACUACAUUAUAUAAAAUUUUCUCCCAUGUCAUCUGUCCUCUGUGUGCAGCAGAGAGCUACAGAUACCUGUCCUAGAUGGCGACAUCCGCGGUGACUUCUUUGAAUACCAGUCACAGCUAUGAGUGCUGAACAUGGCAGAGAGUUGGCACCAUGCCUGCCAGUGACCAAAGAAUGCUAUUUCUUCCUCACCUCUGAGCACCACUCCCUGCCCUCAGCUCAUGGUCUCUUCAGAGGAGGCACCUCAGUGACCUGACGACACAGCAGCCUCUCGAAGCACAGGGCUGGCGUGACCAAGACAGAUAUCAGCCCUGCCCAGGGCACAGAAGCUGGGAAGCUUUUCUUUUGUUUUUCCCUGGUGUGGGAAAGGAGAUGUCAAACACCCUCAGAACAAGAGCUCCAAAGGAAUACAGGGUUUCUGGCUAGGCUCUUCCCAGACAAUUUAGCUGCUAUUCAGCGUGCCCCACGUUUUGACCACAGAAAUGGUAUAUUAAUUCCCCUGCAAUGCACUGAGCUUCCUGCUGUGGGUAUUGUGGAUUUGCUUCAUAUUAUAACAAUUUUAACUUGCAGGCUUCAGCAUUACCAGCACACAUUACACUUCUACUCCUUUAAAGCUCUGUACCUGCUGGGGAAAGCUGGUUUUAUUCCCAUUUUCCCCAUUAUGCCUGGCCCAUGCUCCACUUCCUACCUGCUCUGAAUUCUUUUCCAAUAAUCAAAUCAAGGCAAUGGUGUCAGCAUUUUCAGAUUAGGUCCAGAUAUCUAUGACCCUCAGGGAUUAAUUUCAUCUUAUUCAUAAGAGGAACACAGGGGAAAGAGCUACCACAUGAACACUCAGGAUUUGAACAGCACCUCCCGUUCUUCGUCAUGAAUCCAUUUCUCAAAUACACACAUUAAGUUACAUCAAUUCCUCUGAAGAUAAAGAAACAGGCAAUACCAACCAGAUGAGAAUUUGUCCAAAAACAAUAAAAUGCACGGUGCAGAGGGCAAAGACAAGGUGCUGUUUGCUUCUUUUGGUGCUGGCAACCAGAGAGGGGAUGUGAUGGUGCCAUUUCAUAAGUGCUUCAAUGGCUUCAACUCAGUUACCUCAAACUCAGAAAUUCUACUUUUUAGGGCAUUCUGAUGCUUAGCAAUUAGGUGGAACUUCCUUUCCUGAUUGAAAUAACACACAAAUCCUUCCAGGACAGUCAGCACUUGGGGAAAAAAACAUUGACUUGGGAAAAUUUGGGAGCUUAGAUUUCAAAGUUUAAGUUUGAAUUUUAUUAAGGUGUAAAACUGCUUCAAACCUGUAUCAAUUAGGAGGCAGUUUCCUGAAGAAAGCCAGAAGUACAAUCCAGUUCUAGUCAGCACAAUGUCCAGUUGCCUCUAAUGACCUUUAAUAUAAGAGAGACUAUUUCAGUGUUUAUGUUACACUGAUGAAUCACAAUAAGGUACAAUACAAGGGAUGCAAAAUUUGGAAACUACUUUUUCUGGCAGUUUUCAAAGACAGAUGGAGAAACACUCCUUCACAACAGAGAUUGUUCAAAUAAAUGAAUAAAUAAAUUAUUAAAUAAAAAGCUGUUUCAACCUUGCUGGCCUGAUCUACUAUGAUCUAUCAAAUCUUUGAGAGACCUCAAGCAGCUUACUUGUGUAUUUUAUAUACUUACACCCCAGGUAUAUUAGUCAGCACUUGGAAGAGAAAUUGGUGGCAUCCAGAGGCCAAUUUAUUUCCUUUUGCAAAAGAUUCAGCUUCAUACCAGCUUUGAUGCUCAGUUUUACAUAGUGCAGCAUCUGCCAAAUGACAGCAAUCUCCAAGCACAGAUCACCACCUUGACUGGGAUAAAGCAAGCACCAAAGAACUGCAGUGAUCCAGAAAGUGCUCACCAACUCACAUGAGGGAUGAAGGAGCUUUCUCAGCUGCCUGGUCACACAGACCUCCUGGGAAUGUCAGGAGGUGAAGGAACGAAAGGAGAAGCCUUUGGACAGACACACUGCCAUAUCAGUGCCAGAUCAAACCUGGCUAUCCUGGAUCUGCAGAGUCCCAAGAGAAAAGCAACAGCUGCAGGAGAUGAGGGGUAUCAUUUUGCUUUCGCAGCCAGAUUGUCACCUUGGUUCCAAGAACAUUAACUGCACUACUGCAAUGUCCCACCCUCGGGGGAAGGGAGCACCCCAGAUUCGCAGGUGCUGGUGACCAAAAGGAACAACAGAAGUCAGAGGGUCUGCAAAAGUUUACAAAGUUUUUUUAGUAAAUUACACACUCAGCAUGGAAACUGGUACAAUAGUCCCUGACCUCCUAUAUAAGCACACAGCAGUAGGCUUUGGGUAAAGGGAUAGGGUGAAAGGGAAAGAGAAAGAGAGAGAUUAAUUAAAGAGGAGGAGAGAGAAAGAAAGGAAGAAAGAGAGAAAUAGAGAUCACCAGCACUGGCUCCAGCAUCGAUCCAGCUGAUAGGGUGUCCAGAGUCCCAGGGUACCUUUUCAUAGAUAGGCUUUUCCUGCCCUGGAGAUUAGUUUCUUACUUUCUGUGCAAAUUAGUUGUCAUACACAGUUUAUUUUUCUAGGUAACAAGUCAGAGGGCUUUGGGGGUCUCUGGUGGUCUUCAUCCCUCCUACAGUCCACGCCCACUUCUUGAACUUGUUCCUGCACUUGUGCUGGACUGUGUUGUGUUUAUCUCCAGAAGCCAGAAAAAGAAUGUUUGUCCCAGGAAAAGCACUGCCCUACCUCCACGUCUCUCUUCUCUAGCCACAUCCUGUUCUUUCUCACAGUGUGUUAUUACCAACAAUCCUUGGCUGUUAUGACCAACAAUCCUUUGUCAGCUCCACAGCUAUCUGGCUAUCAGUGUUUGAACAUACACAUUAGCCCCUUAUCUUCAGGGCUUCUGCAACCUCUGAACACUCAUAUAUCCAAAUUAAAAGUGAAACUAGACCCUUAUAUCCUCUGACCAAUGUUCACCCUAUGGCAGUGUCCCUCACUUAAAGCAGUAUUGCAUUUAUUCACAAUAAACACAAUAUUCACAGGGCAAAUUCCAAAUCUGUUAAUUAUUCCAACAUAAAUUCUUCCCACAGCUUUAAACAGAGUCAAUACUCUUUAUUUUCUGCCCAUAAAUACACUGUGUUUUAAAGAUUUGCUGCCUGCUACCCCAAAGUGAAGCUGAAGAGAUAUAUGCAAAUUAUUCUGAAAGGCCUCUGUGCUCCUAAGAGGAAAUAUGCUCAACUUCAGAAUCUUACAAUCAUUAACAAAUUCAUACAGGAAUAAACUGGUCCAUACUACUCUAAUAGAUGCCUAGAACAGAUGAACAGGCUUGCAUAAAAUUAUAUCCAAAAUUUCACUUAAUAUUUAAUUUCAACCUCUGACAUGAGAAAUAACUAUCCCACUGGUGCCUCACUUCCCAUGCACACAACCAAAUGCCUCUGGACUUCUUAUUUUUGCAGUGGAAGCAAACCAGGAGGCAGCCAACACAAUCAACCAAGAAUCAACCUAAUUUGUCUCCACAGUCAGAACACACAUACUCGAGACAGUCCUCGAAACCCCAGUACCUGCACAGCUGUGUGCUAUCUACACAUCAGCUCUUGUUUCACUCUAAGUACAAAAUAUUUAAAGACACAGUAAAGUGCCACAGAUGUGCAAAGUUUAAGAGUGCUUCAAUAGAGAGUGACAACUAAAAUAAAUCCCUCUGCAUAAAAUCA